rnacentral:rRNA from 1 species
AUACGUAGGUGACAAGCGUUAUCCGGAUUUACUGGGCGUAAAGGGCGUGUAGGCGGUCUUGCAAGUCAGAAGUGAAAUUCCUGAGCUCAACUCGGGCGCUGCUUCUGAAACUGCAGGACUUGAGUGCUGGAGGGGAUAGCGGAAUUCCUAGUGGAGCGGUAAAAUGCGCAGAUAUUAGGAAGAACACCGGUGGCGAAGGCGGCAAGCUGGACAGUAACGGACGCUGAGGCGCGAAAGCGUGGGGAGCAAACAGGAUUAGAUACCCUGGUAGCCCACGCCGUAAACGAUGAAUACUAGGUGUAGGGGGUAUCGACCCCUUCUGUGCCGCAGUCAACACAAUAAGCAUUCCGCCUGGGGAGUACGGCCGCAAGGUUGAAACUCAAAUGAAUUGACGGGG